rnacentral:rRNA from 1 species
UAGGCGGCCCUGUAAGUCAGUGGUGAAAUCUUUGGGCUUAACCCAAAAAUUGCCAUUGAUACUGCAGGGCUUGAGUACAGUUGCCGUUGGCGGAAUAUGACAUGUAGUGGUGAAAUACAUAGAGAUGUCAUAGAACACCGAUUGCGAAGGCAGCUAACGAAACUGUAACUGACGCUGAGGCUCGAAAGUGCGGGGAUCAAACAGGAUUAGAUACCCUGGUAGUCCGCACUGUAAACGAUGAUUACUCGCUGCUGGGAGGUAACUUUCAGUGGCUUAGCGAAAGCGAUAAGUAAUCCACCUGGGGAGUACGCCGGCAACGGUGAAACUCAAAGGAAUUGA